GAAACAUUUUUGUGAAAGGUUAGCAAAAUGAGCUGAGAGCUGAAGCUCGUAAAUUCCAAGAGGAAAACAUUCAAAAACAGAGCGAGCGACAAACUCGACAUCAAAGUGGUGGUGAUCAUCUUUUGUGGGAGGUCAGCUGAGUCCAACAGCAGCAGCAGAAGCAGAAGCAGACUGUGGGCGGCAAUCCUUUAAAAGGAGGAGGGACUGUGCAAAUUAGUUUAUCACUGCAACGCUUUCAGUUUAUGUCUGUGUUUUUAACUUUGGCCCAACCAUAAAAAUUGUUGCCAAAAGUCUGAGUGCCGCACGUGGGCGAGAACGUGGCCUGGUUAUGUCAUGGACUUGACUCUUUCCUCUCUCCCUUCCUCUGCUUGCCUCUGCGUUGGUGUGGCAUGCCGCCUUUAACUUAUUGCCGGAUUAAAUUUGAUGCGCUCGACACGACACCGUCGUCGUCGUCGUCGUCGUCGUUGUCGUGGUGGAAAAUUUGUAUAUGAAAAUGUAAUCAGUUUGCACAAGUUGUUGCUCUUCUUGUGUGCGCUUGUCUUGGGCAAACAAGUGAAAAAAGCACGCGGUUCAAAAAGUCAAAAGACUCUGCACAGAGAAAAAAAAAGGACCCUCGCCAGCAGAAAAGGCGUCUGUAAUUAUGCCACAUUAUCAUUUUGGCCAGCGAAGCGAAUAACGUUGCGGCUUUAAUUUAGUUACCGCGGCUUUUGCGGCCGCUUUGUACCCAGCUUAGAUAUCUUUAAAUAUUAUUCUCCCGCUUGGCAGCUGCAAAUUGUCUAAAGUUCCAUGUAUCAAUUGACGAAAUUUAAUUAAAUUUUCAAGCUGCUCAAUAUUUCAGUUUACACACAAUGUAAAUUGUACAAGAACGGCAACAAGUGAUGUGAAUAAAUUUGCCGAAACUAACUAAAUAAAUUGCCUACUGCUUUUGGCACUUUCGUUUAA